UUAAGUUCAGCGGGUAUUCCUACCUGAUUCGAGGUCAACCUAUGAAUCCGUGUGAAGGGACCCGAUAAGAGUUGUUGGCAGGGCCUCGUCGUCACUCUGUCGCGAGAAGCAAGUUACUACGCGUAGAGCCCACGCCGAAGCCCGCCACUGUCUUUAAGGGCCACCGCGUAUCGCGGCGAGCCCCAACACCAGAGCCACAU
rnacentral:misc_RNA from 1 species